CCCCCGUCACGUGACAUGCCGCGCCUCGGUUUUUCCCUGCCCUCAGCAAGGAGAAGGCAGCAAGUUCCCCCGUUCCGUCCCCCCAAAAAAGAAACCCCGGCGUAUCCACCGUCCUUCAAAUAAGCGAAGUCCCCGCGGGCGGGCCCCGCCCCAGGGCGGAGGCCGCAGUCGAGCCUUGGCGAUCCGGGCCCGGUUCCCGGUAGGGUGGGGGGAGGGGAAGGCGGAGGCGAACGGCUGCGAGCGGUCACGUGACCUAUGGGCUCCCGCAAGAUGGCGGCUGCCGGCGAGAACUCGGCGGCGCGGCGGAGCUCUCGCGAGAUCUCGCGUUUCUCGCUGCAUCACGGGGCGGGGGGGGGGGGGGGGGGGCGCCGUGCGCGCGCCCCCGCCUGAGGCGGCGUUGGCGGGAGCGGCGGGACCGGGCCGGGCGCGGGGCUCGGCCCCGGGGGCUUCGGCCUGAGGGGCACCGGUGUCAUCUGAGCUCAUCCCCGCCCGUGCUCCCGCUGGUGAACGCGUCUCACUCCAGGCGGCCCCCUGGUCCCGUCCCGUUCCUCCGUUGUUGGCGGCUCCGUGCACCCCGGUGCGGCCGGUGCCACCGCGCCCUGAGGCGCCGCCACCUCGUCCCCCUCACGGCGCCGCGGCUCUGCAGAGUUCCUGCACAGGAACUCCUCCAGGAGAAUGGGGGGACAGCCCUGCUGCCCUGCCGGGAAUGCCCAGGGGAUGUGCUGGCGGAUGAGUUUUCCCUUGCGAAUGUUGUGCAAGCUGCUAACGUGAAACUUGCUGCUGUAAAGAGCGAGUUAAAAUCUGGAGACCACUCAUGCUAGUUUCACAUUUGGAGACUUUUUUUUUAGCGCUGGAGACCUCCAGACUGAGAAGCCUUGGUAAAAGAAACAAUCUUCCAAUAAAUGCUUUCCCAGUUGUGUAAGAACAUGAAAAUUUGUAAGAACUUUCACACAGAAUUGAGCCAGACAUAAUUGAAGUGUGAGCAAUCAUGAAAUUCCUUCAAGUGAUCAGUACUACUCAUUCAAUCUUGUGCAAGUUUGCUUAUUUUAUCAUUAGACAAAUUUAACAGGGAUUAAUAGAACCAAUAAAGGAUUAGACAGAUUAAGGCUAAACUAUUUAAAGACAAAGCAACGUUAAUUAAACAGAUUUAAGUAAUUCAGAUUAAUCAGUGAUGCUUCAGACAGAGAAAAAGACGACAGAAGUGAGGCCAGAGACCAGAAGAACAAUUUAAAUGGCAGCUUUUAUCUUUGCGAUUGUCCUCUGCACACUUCAGAUGAAGGCACGAUGAAAUACAGCUCACACACGCUGAAUCGAACUUCAAAUCUCAGCAGCUCUGUGCAAUCGUGACAAGAAAGGGAGGGUUUUGAUGGCUUGAGUUGAAAAGGGAGUUACCUGUCAGCGUUUGUGAUCAUCCUCGACUGCAAUGGGUCAGUGUCACACCCCCGUGGGAGGGAAGGACUGGAGAUCAAUCAGCAUCAUGCUGCAGGAGGAAGGAGACUUUGACUGAAGCUGAGCUGGAAACCCCCCGUGCUCUUUGGGGGUAACAAAGCCUCAGUGUUUGCAGGCAGUUGUCUCUAUGGGGCCGGUGCUGUGCAAGAGCUGAACGCGGUGGGUUUGCACUCUCUGAACUUUGUGCGUGACUGACCCAGCUUUGCUGGGUCACUCACUGCAGCGA